UGCCGUCCUGUUCUCGCCUUUCCUAGUUCAUUCUAGUGGGCCGUCGCCGCCGUGGUAACCUAUGGUGUGGGGGACAAAAAGGGGAGCGUGUCGCGGAGGUCGGCCUACCGGACUGCGGCGGCGCCGGUGUUUCCACGUCGGGCUAGCGGCGGAUGGACGCCGAGGGUAUGGAGUUCCUGCUUGAUGCGGUGGUCAGAUUCCCCGUACGGGAGGGAUUUGCUGACAGCCUUGACCACCCAGAUCCAGUUCCACUCCAUUAUCUGCUGGAGAAGGGGAGUGCAACCCAGGAUGUUGGGGAGGUGAAUGGUGUUUCUGGGCUGGCUCAAAUGGAGGACGAAGGAGCAGGUGCAGACCGACAAGAAGGUGACCAGCGUUUUCGUGCUGAAUCUCCGACGAGGUCCCCCGGAUGGACUAAAAGACCGAGUGCCAUGCCCAUCGAGGAUGAGCGCUCUCGAGGUUUCAAUCCUCAAAUAUGCAGAGCAGCCUGACAAGAGCGUUGUUAGACCUGAGCUAGGACUCAGUUUUGAUUCGUUGGGCGAGGCAUAUGAUUUCUAUAACCUAUAUUCUUGGGAAUUAGGUUUUGGCAUAAGAUAUGGAAAAAGCAGACUCAACGCCGAGAGGACAAAAAGCAUGCAGGAAAUAGUUUGUGGUUGCUCGGGGAAACCGGAAACCGGAAACAGUCAGUCCUGCAUAUGUGAGUGCCCAGCUCUGAUCAGGCUUCUGCGUGCAUCUAACAACAGCUGGUACAUAACAGAGCAUCGAGCGAGUCACAACCAUUCCAUGUCGCUGACAAUGGGAGAGAAAGUGCACUGGCCUUCUCAUAAACACAUAGAUAUAUACACUAAGCAUUUGAUAAAGCAACUGAGGGAAAACAAUGUUAACCUUGGGAAGGUAUACAGCAUAGUUGGGAGCUUCUUUGGUUCGGUCAAGAAGGUCCCUUUCACGAAGAGGACGCUCAGGAGUAUUUGUGGGAAGAUUAGCCGUGAACAGGCUGAAGACGAUGUCCAGAAGACACUUGAGGCGUUCGCUGACAUCCAGGCCAAUACCAUUGCCAAACUGAUUUUGAAUUUUUUUGAACGGGUCGCCGGCAUCCGAUGGGAGGUUCUCUCGCUGAAUCGGCAAGUAGUGGCACAACCAGAGGGGCGGGGCAUGAUGCGUUCGUGGGAUUGAAUCUUCCUCCUUCACCUCCCUCCCGCGUGGACUCCGCAUCUAGCGCCUGGAGCACGACGCAUCUGCCAGCGUAUGUCGACGACGCUAAUGGAGAGGGCGAGGUCGUCCAGCAAGAUGAGUCUGUCCACCGGACUCUCACCCAUUGAUUUGGGCAGCAUGGUGGGGCAAGAUUCAUGGGAAGAAAAAUUUGGUGAUUAUGAUCCAGCUGCUGCUCCGGAUUUGCCGCGUAGCACUGGUAGUUCUGCCAUCGACGACCGAUCUGGUGUCCUCUUUGGUGGCAACGUGGAAGACUGAAGAUGAGGAGGACAUUAUCAGCAUGCCGCCUAAACGCCGCCGUAUAAUAGACUAGGUCGCGUAGCUAAAUGAGAACUGGUAAGUGAUUUGUGUGCUAGAAGAUGUUGGUUAAUUAGUAUCGUUCACGCGUUCCGUUGUGACGGCCCUGUUUGUAAAAUCUACUUCCUUGUUUCAUUUUCACUGGUUGCAUCCUUGAACCUCAAACACGUGGGGAUCCAUUCUGGGUUAAUUGUCUGGCUUCCUUCA